rnacentral:rRNA from 1 species
UACGAAGGGGGCUAGCGUUGCUCGGAAUCAUUGGGCGUAAAGCGCACGUAGGCGGCUUUUUAAGUCAGGGGUGAAAUCCUGGAGCUCAACUCCAGAACUGCCUUUGAUACUGAGAAGCUUGAGUCCGGGAGAGGUGAGUGGAACUGCGAGUGUAGAGGUGAAAUUCGUAGAUAUUCGCAAGAACACCAGUGGCGAAGGCGGUUCACUGGCCCGGUACUGACGCUGAGGUGCGAAAGCGUGGGGAGCAAACAGG